UUUAAUAUGGCAGAAUAGUGCAAUGGACUUAGAUCCACUUAAAAAGACCAAUUAAUCUUUUAUUAAAA
rnacentral:tRNA from 1 species